AUUCAGAUGAAGAUAUGUUUGAUAUGAUAAUAUCAACAAAUGAAAUCCCAGAUAAUUUUUAUUUAAUACAGGAUGGUGAAGCCAACGAAGACAACGAAAACAACGAAGACAACGAAGACAAUAAUAUAGAAGAGAUGGAAAUUGAGGAUAGUGUAGAUGACGAAUCGGAAAAUGAGGAAAUAGAAGAUAGUACAGAUGAUGAUGAAUUGGAAAAUGAUUAAAUUGAGGGUGGUGGAAACGAUGAUUUAGAAGAUGAGGAAAUUGGGUAUAGUGAAGAUGAUGAAGAAUAGAGUUAAAAAAUAAUCAACAUAAAUUAUGAACAACCUUUAGAUUUAGACAUUGGGAAGUAUGAAAAUUAUACAUCACUUAUGGAAAUAUUGAAGAAAAGUCAGGAUAAUUUA